UACGUAGGUGGCAAGCGUUGUCCGGAUUUACUGGGCGUAAAGAGCGCGCAGGCGGUCGUUCAAGUCGCGUGUGAAAGCCCUCGGCUCAACUGAGGAAGUGCAUCCGAAACUGGCAGGCUAGAGUACUAAAGAGGGUCGCGGAAUUCCCGGUGUAGAGGUGAAAUUCGUAGAUAUCGGGAGGAACACCAGUGGCGAAGGCGGCGAUCUGGGAAGAUACUGACGCUGAGGUGCGAAAGCGUGGGGAGCAAACAGG
rnacentral:rRNA from 1 species